CAUCUGUUCUAUAUAUAUUCUUCUAACUAAAGUCCGAGGAGUGAGGUUGCUGUACUGCCACGUGUUAAAGAGUGUGGGGUAAUAUUUUUAUCUUGACACGUGUCCUAUCUAUAUUUACGCUGCACCCGGUGUACCAUAGAUCCUAUAACAAUUUUUAUUUUAUUUUAAUAUAAGACAUUUAAAAUACUAUAAUAUAAAUUUAAUUAAUGAAAUUUUAUUCUAAAUUUUUUUUUUGACAAUUUUAUUUAAAAUUUUAUUUUGACAUUUUUAUCAAAUAAAUUUGCUGGUGUGUAUCA
rnacentral:lncRNA from 1 species